AAUGGGCGAAAGCCUGACGGAGCGACGCCGCGUGAGGGACGAAGGCUUUCGGGUUGUAAACCUCUUUCGCCUGUUAAGAAAACCUCUGGCCAAUAACCAGGGGCCUGACAAGCAGGUAAAGAAGUACCGGCUAACUCCGUGCCAGCAGCCGCGGUAAGACGGAGGGUGCAAGCGUUACUCGGAAUCACUGGGCGUAAAGCGUACGUAGGCGGCUUGUCAAGUUGGAUGUGAAAUCCCACAGCUCAACUGUGGAACUGCGUCCAAAACUGACAAGCUCGAGAACAGUAGGGGACAGUGGAACUCAAGGUGGAGCGGUGAAAUGCGUAGAGAUCUUGAGGAACACCGGUGGCGAAAGCGACUGUCUGGGCUGUUUCUGACGCUGAGGUACGAAAGCCAGGGGAGCGAACGGGAUU
rnacentral:rRNA from 1 species